CCUACGGGUGGCUGCAGUCGAGAAUCUUCGGCAAUGGACGCAAGUCUGACCGAGCGACGCCGCGUGCGGGAUGAAGGCCUUCGGGUUGUAAACCGCUGUCAGUGGGGAGGAAGGCCGUGUGAAGAGCAUGGUUUGACCUAUCCGCAGAGGAAGUGUGGGCUAAGCUCGUGCCAGCAGCCGCGGUAAGACGAGCCACACAAACGUUAUUCGGAAUUACUGGGCUUAAAGGGUGCGUAGGCGGCGCGGAAAGUUGGGUGUGAAAUCCCUCGGCUCAA
rnacentral:rRNA from 1 species